CCUUUUCAUUUAGAAGCGUGAAUGUGGGGGUUGCUGUCAGCAGGGAUGGCCUCCUCUACCAUAUUUUUUCUUUUUGAAAAAGAGGGUAAAGACUAGAAUGCGGAUAGGGAGUUGAUCGUGUACAGUUACAUGUUGAUGCCCUUGCGAUUCGAAACUGCUCCCCUCCCCUAUCUGGAUCAACUCCAUUGGAAGAGAAAAAAAAUGAGUGGUUUUGAUUG
rnacentral:lncRNA from 1 species